AUCGAUGAGCAUGACUUUAACACGAAAUUGCGCAAUGCGAUUAAAUUCCUUGAAAAAGGCGAUAAAGUGAAAGCUUCUAUCCGCUUUAAAGGACGCGCAAUCACUCAUAAAGAAAUCGGUCAGCGUGUAUUAGACCGUUUCUCCGAAGCAUGUGCUGAGGUUGCGACAGUCGAAACAAAACCAAAAAUGGACGGCCGCAGCAUGUUCUUAAUGCUCGCACCGAAAAACGAAAAGCAAUAAGGAGGAAAUCCCAUGCCAAAAAUGAAAACUCACCGCGGAUCUGCUAAACGUUUUAAAAAGACAGGUUCUGGGAAGUUAAAACGUUCU
rnacentral:misc_RNA from 1 species